CCUACGGGAGGCUGCAGUCGAGAAUCAUUCACAAUGGGGGAAACCCUGAUGGUGCGACGCCGCGUGGGGGAAUGAAGGUCUUCGGAUUGUAAACCCCUGUCAUGUGGGAGCAAAUUAAAAAGAUAGUACCACAAGAGGAAGAGACGGCUAACUCUGUGCCAGCAGCCGCGGUAAUACAGAGGUCUCAAGCGUUGUUCGGAAUCACUGGGCGUAAAGCGUGCGUAGGCUGUUUCGUAAGUCGUGUGUGAAAGGCGCGGGCUCAACCCGCGGACGGCACAUGAUACUGCGAGACUAGAGUAAUGGAGGGGGAACCGGAAAUCUCGGGGUAGCAGUGAAAUGCGGAGAUAUCGAGAGGAACACUCGGGGCGAAGGCGGGUUCCUGGACAUUAACUGACGCUGAGGCACGAAGGCCAGGGGAGCGAAAGGGAUUAGAUACCCCAGUAGUC
rnacentral:rRNA from 1 species